rnacentral:rRNA from 1 species
CCAUAUCAAUGAUUGACCUCGGAUCAGGUAGGGAUACCCGCUGAACUUAAGCAUAUCAAUAAGCGGAGGAAAAGAAACCAACCGGGAUUGCCUCAGUAACGGCGAGUGAAGCGGCAACAGCUCAAAUUUGAAAUCUGGCCCCCCCCGGGGUCCGAGUUGUAAUUUGCAGAGGACGUUUCGGGUGCGGCCCGGUCUAAGUCCCUUGGAACAGGGCGUCACAGAGGGUGAGAAUCCCGUAUGUGACCGGUGACCAACCCCAUGUGAAACCCCUUCGACGAGUCGAGUUGUUUGGGAAUGCAGCUCAAAAUGGGUGGUAAAUUUCAUCCAAAGCUAAAUACCGGCCAGAGACCGAUAGCGCACAAGUAGAGUGAUCGAAAGAUGAAAAGCACUUUGGAAAGAGAGUCAAACAGUACGUGAAAUUGUUGAAAGGGAAGCGCUGGCGACCAGACCUGCCCCGGGCGAUCAGCGGCUGUUCUCAGCCGUGCACUCGCCCGCGAUCAGGCCAGCAUCGGUUCCGGCGGUCGGAUACAGACCCGGGGAAUGUGGCUCUCUUCGGGGAGUGUUAUAGCCCCGGGUGCCAUACGGCCAGCCGGGACCGAGGACCGCGCUCCGGCGAG